rnacentral:rRNA from 1 species
GAUGAACGCUAGCUACAGGCUUAACACAUGCAAGUCGAGGGGCAGCGCAGUGUAGCAAUACAUGGGCGGCGACCGGCGCACGGGUGCGUAACGCGUAUCCAACCUUCCCGUUACUCAGGGAUAGCCUUCCGAAAGGGAGAUUAAUACCUGAUGGUGUUUGAAUUCCGCAUGUUAUUCAAACUAAAGAUUUAUCGGUAACGGAUGGGGAUGCGUGACAUUAGAUAGUAGGCGGGGUAACGGCCCACCUAGUCUACGAUGUCUAGGGGUUCUGAGAGGAAGGUCCCCCCACACUGGAACUGAGACACGGUCCAGACUCCUACGGGAGGCAGCAGUGAGGAAUAUUGGUCAAUGGCCGGAAGGCUGAACCAGCCAAGUAGCGUGAAGGAUGAAGGUUCUAUGGAUUGUAAACUUCUUUUAUACGGGAAUAAAACCUCCCACGUGUGGGAGCUUGUAUGUACCGUAUGAAUAAGCAUCGGCUAACUCCGUG